UAUAUAUAUAUAAGUAAGAAAGUGUGAGAACAUCUCAAAAACAAAGAGAAAAAGAAACAAACAACCCAAUAUUACAUCAUUUUAUCUAUAUAUAUCACAAAAAGCUCUUGAAAGCAAAGAAAUAUGGGAACCCUAACCAACGGCUUAAAUCCCAAAGUAUUUUACGUGUUGCAAAUCACUCUAUCACACAUUCAUGAAUAAAUCCUUUUUUCUUGUUUUUUUUUUUGGGGGGGGUCCUUUAAUUAACAGUUUUUUUUUUUCAGAGGAAGACAAGUUUUAUGCUCAAAGCUGCAUCAAAUGCCUGCAGCCAUGCCCUACUUACUUCAUUUCGUCAAACUCAAGUUCCUAAUUUAUUGAAUUUAAAAAAUCCAAAAAAUAUGGAUCAAU
rnacentral:lncRNA from 1 species